rnacentral:rRNA from 1 species
CCUACGGGGAGCUGCAGUGAGGAAUAUUGGUCAAUGGGCUUACGCCUGAACCAGCCAAGUCGCGUGAGGGAAGACUGCCCUAUGGGUUGUAAACCUCUUUUGUCAGGGAGCAACGCCGGCUACGUGUAGCCGGACUGAGAGUACCUGAAGAAAAAGCAUCGGCUAACUCCGUGCCAGCAGCCGCGGUAAUACGGAGGAUGCGAGCGUUAUCCGGAUUUAUUGGGUUUAAAGGGUGCGUAGGCGGAAUGCCAAGUCAGCGGUAAAAGGGCGGGGCUCAACCUCGGUCCGCCGUUGAAACUGGCGUUCUUGAGUGGGCGAGAAGUAUGCGGAAUGCGUGGUGUAGCGGUGAAAUGCAUAGAUAUCACGCAGAACUCCGAUUGCGAAGGCAGCAUACCGGCGCCCAACUGACGCUGAAGCACGAAAGCGUGGGUAUCGAACAGGAUUAGAUACCCGGGUAGUC